rnacentral:misc_RNA from 1 species
AAGAAACCAACAGGGAUUGCCCCAGUAACGGCGAGUGAAGCGGCAAGAGCUCAAAUUUGAAAUCUGGCCCCGUCGGGGUCCGAGUUGUAAUUUGCAGAGGAUGCUUCGGGUGCGGCCCCCGUCUAAGUGCCCUGGAACGGGCCGCCGGAGAGGGUGAGAGUCCCGUCUGGGACGGGUGGCCGCGUCCGUGUGAAGCUCCUUCGACGAGUCGAGUUGUUUGGGAAUGCAGCUCUAAAUGGGUGGUAAAUUUCAUCUAAAGCUAAAUAUUGGCCGGAGACCGAUAGCGCACAAGUAGAGUGAUCGAAAGAUGAAAAGCACUUUGAAAAGAGAGUUAAAUAGCACGUGAAAUUGUUGAAAGGGAAGCGCUUGCGACCAGACUCGCCCGCGGGGGUUCAGCCGGCACUCGUGCCGGUGCACUCCCCCGCGGGCGGGCCAGCGUCGGUUUGGGCGGUCGGUCAAAGGCCCCCGGAAUGUGUCGCCCCUCGGGGCGUCUUAUAGCCGGGGGUGCAAUGCGGCCAGCCCGGACCGAGGACCGCGCUUCGGCAUGGACGCUGGCGUAAUGGUCGUAAGCGACCCGUCUUGAAACACGGACCAAGGAGUCUAACAUCUACGCGAGUGUUCGGGUGUUAAACCCGUCCGCGCAGUGAAAGCGAACGGAGGUGGGAACCCCUCGCGGGUGCACCAUCGACCGAUCCUGAUGUCUUCGGAUGGAUUUGAGUAAGAGCGUAGCUGUUGGGACCCGAAAGAUGGUGAACUAUGCCUGAAUAGGGCGAAGCCAGAGGAAACUCUGGUGGAGGCUCGCAGCGGUUCUGACGUGCAAAUCGAUCGUCAAAUUUGGGUAUAGGGGCGAAAGACUAAUCGAACCAUCUAGUAGCUGGUUCCUGCCGA